rnacentral:rRNA from 1 species
GAUGAACGCUGGCGGCGUGCCUAAUACAUGCAAGUCGAGCGAACAGACGAGGAGCUUGCUCCUCUGAUGUUAGCGGCGGACGGGUGAGUAACACGUGGAUAACCUACCUAUAAGACUGGGAUAACUUCGGGAAACCGGAGCUAAUACCGGAUAACAUGUUGAACCGCAUGGUUCAACAGUGAAAGACGGUCUUGCUGUCACUUAUAGAUGGAUCCGCGCCGCAUUAGCUAGUUGGUAAGGUAACGGCUUACCAAGGCAACGAUGCGUAGCCGACCUGAGAGGGUGAUCGGCCACACUGGAACUGAGACACGGUCCAGACUCCUACGGGAGGCAACAGUAGGGAAUCUUCCGCAAUGGGCGAAAGCCUGACGGAGCAACGCCGCGUGAGUGAAGAAGGUCUUCGGAUCGUAAAACUCUGUUAUUAGGGAAGAACAAAUGUGUAAGUAACUAUGCACGUCUUGACGGUACCUAAUCAGAAAGCCGCGGCUAACUACGUG